rnacentral:rRNA from 1 species
AAUCAACGCUGGCGGCGUGCCUAACACAUGCAAGUCGAGCGGGAAAGGGGCUUCGGCCCUGAGUAUAGCGGCGGACGGGUGAGUAACACGUGGGUAAUUUGCCCUUGGGUGUGGAAUAACGUCAGGGAAACUUGAGCUAAUACCGCAUGACAUCCCCUUCACACACGAGUCGGGGAUCAAAGCCGGGGACCCUUCGGGGCCUGGCGCCUGAGGAGAAGCCCGCGCCCGAUUAGCUAGNGGUUGAGGUAAUGGCUCACCAAGGCUUCGAUCGGUAGCCGGCCUGAGAGGGCGGACGGCCACACUGGGACUGAGACACGGCCCAGACUCCUACGGGAGGCAGCAGUGGGGAAUUUUUGUCAAUGGGGGAAACCCUGAACAAGCAACGCCGCGUGGAGGACGACGACCUC